rnacentral:rRNA from 1 species
AUUGAACGCUGGCGGCAGGCCUAACACAUGCAAGUCGAGCGGAUGAUGGGAGCUUGCUCCUUGAUUCAGCGGCGGACGGGUGAGUAAUGCCUAGGAAUCUGCCUGGUAGUGGGGGACAACGUUUCGAAAGGAACGCUAAUACCGCAUACGUCCUACGGGAGAAAGCAGGAGACCUUCGGGCCUUGCGCUAUCAGAUGAGCCUAGGUCGGAUUAGCUUGUUGGUGAGGUAAUGGCUCACCAAGGCGACGAUCCGUAACUGGUCUGAGAGGAUGAUCAGUCACACUGGAACUGAGACACGGUCCAGACUCCUACGGGAGGCAGCGGUGGGGAAUAUUGGACAAUGGGCGAAAGCCUGAUCCAGCCAUGCCGCGUGUGUGAAGAAGGUCUUCGGAUUGUAAAGCACUUUAAGUUGGGAGGAGGCGUUGUGUGUUAAUAGUACACAGCGUUGACGUUACCUACAGAAGAAGCACCGGCUAACUCUGUGCCAGCCGCCGCGGUAAAAC